rfam:Ciona savignyi cont_31656, whole genome shotgun sequence.
UCCUCGUUAGUAUAGUGGUGAGUAUCCCCGCCUGUCACGCGGGAGACCGGGGUUCGAUUGCCCGACGGGGAG